rnacentral:rRNA from 1 species
GGAGUCUGGGCCGUGUCUCAGUCCCAAUGUGGCCGUUCACCCUCUCAGGCCGGCUACGCAUCAUCGCCUUGGUGGGCCUUUACCUCACCAACUAGCUAAUGCGCCAUAAGCCCAUCCACCAGUGUUUUUAACCUUUAAUAACAAAUCCAUGCGGUUCUGUUACCUAUCCGGUAUUAGUCCCCGUUUCCAGGGAUUAUCCCAGUCUUCGUGGGCAGGUUGCUUAUGUAUUACUCACCCGUUCGCCUCUAGAUCAAAUAAGCAAGCUUAUUCGGUCUCGAUCGACUUGCAUGUAUUAGGCACGCCGCCAGCGUUUAUC